CGAAUGAAAACGAAAAUUUGGUGAAUCUUUCAUUGCUGUUGGAGGUGGUUUUGGAAUGGACAAGUUUUUGAUUGACAGUAACAAGGCGAGUUUCGGUGGCCGAAGUCUAGCCUAUGCUAGUUCUAUACUGACUUGCGUCGCACACUUAUUCUUUUGUGCCUACCAUCGAACCACGCUCGGCGACAGCGUCGUGGCGCUGUCGCCGCGCUAAAACGGUACUUUCCAAAACUACAAAAUGCCAUCAGCCAAUCGCAACUCAAUUAAAGGCUGAUGCAAUUUUCACAUUAUGAUGAAAUAACAUUCCUGCGAAAUGCCUCACACUCACAGCACGAACUGCCCGCGCCGACAUAUACAUUA